rnacentral:rRNA from 1 species
GACGAACGCUGGCGGCGUGCUUAAUACAUGCAAGUCGAACGGAAAGGCCCUGCUUUCACGCUUCUCGAGUUGCGAACGGGCGAGUAACACGUAGGUGAUCUGCCCUCCACUUCGAGUUAAGCCUGUGAAACUAGGUCUAAUACCUGAUAGGAGCCAUAUUUAGUGUGAUGGUUGGAAAGUUUUUUCGGUUUAUGAUGAGCUCGCUGCCUAUCAGCUUGUUGGUGGGGUAAUGGCCUACCAAGGCGGCGACGGGUAGCCGGCCUGAGUGAGUGGCCUGCCACCUUGGGACCGAGGGAAGGCCCAGGCAGCGAAGCGAGGGCGAUGGGGGGAAGAUUGAACAAUGGGCGCAAGGCUGGUGCAGAGAGGCCGCGUAGGGGAUGACGGCCUUAGGGUUGUAAAAUACUUUCGCUAGGGACGAAGCUUUUUGUGACGGUACCUAGAUAAGAAGCAACGGCUAACUACGUG